rnacentral:rRNA from 1 species
GAUAAGUAUGUGAAUUGCAGAUUUUCAGUGAAUCAUCGAAUCUUUGAACGCACCUUGCGCUCCUUGGUAUUCCGAGGAGCAUGCCUGUUUGAGUGUCAU